rnacentral:rRNA from 1 species
GGGCUACACACGUGCUACAAUGGCAUCUACAGUGGGUUAAUCCCCAAAAGAUGUCUCAGUUCGGAUUGUUCUCUGCAACUCGAGAGCAUGAAGUCGGAAUCGCUAGUAAUCGCGUAUCAGCAAUGACGCGGUGAAUACGUUCCCGGACCUUGUACACACCGCCCGUCAAGCCAUGGGAAUUGGGAGGACCUGAAGACGGUUGCCGCAAGGCGCUGUUUAGGGUUAAACCAGUGAC